UAUAGACCAAUAUCACUGAUGUCCCAUUUGUGUAAAGUUAUGGAAUUUAUGGUAAUAGAAUGGUUGAAUAAUAUUUUGGAAAAGGGAGGUGAUGUGCUGUUGUUAAUAUACUGGAUUAAUUUGAGGGGCAAAUGCUGGUUCAAUGCCACAUGUCCCAAAAGCUGUCAAUGUUUUUAUGCAGAAAACUCAGCAUCUACUUCAACACAGCAAGCUUCCACAAACAACAUAAUCAAUGGAAAUGUCAAUCCAUGGCCUCCUAUACUGUCCCAAUGAGGCCACACUCAGAGGACAGCAUUGUAUUGCAACAGCCUGGCUGUGUGAGGCACAGCCCUUCAAAAUCAGUGAAAAUGACCCAAAACAAUGAAUAGAGCAGAACACGAAGAUUUUAACCACACAAGACGUCAUCCUUGGUCCAGAGCUGUGAGGAAUGAAGACUAUUUGGGACAAAACCCUAGUGAAUUCAUCUUCUGCAGUUUCCAGAAAGUUAUGGAUUUAAUUCAAAGUAAACCUCUGUAUCACAAGCUGAGCAGUUGCAAAAUGUAUAUUAUAGGGUGAGUGACAGGUGAACAGCAGUGAUGGAUUUGAAAGCUCUGGGGUAGAAAAGGAACAAAAGCCGGUACCAGAUGAACUGAGUGGCCUUUCUACUGUACAUUAGCUGUGUGACAGGCAGGAAGCUCCUGAGACACAAGAUUUGAAAUCGAGCUGAUUAAUUUGUCACAGAUCCACAACAUUAAUGCCAGAGUAUUUUCAGACUAACUUCAGCAGAACAAACACUCCAAUGCUCAGUGACCAGGGUUCAGUCACAAUAUCUGCAAAAUCUGAUAUUGACAGUCUCACAUGAACUUCCAACUAGAUUCAGUCAUCAUGAUGGUUAAAAUGUUCACCUAGAGCUUUAUUAAACUUCCUCCCUGAUGUGAAGUUGCCAGUGUUUCUGCAGGUGGGAUGACUGAGUAAAUUUCUUUGCUGACACAAGACCGAAGUGUGUCCUCUAUGUAUUUUAAACUUGCUGGAGCCUCACAAAAUGGGUGAACUGAGUGAAUCUCCUCCCACGCUUGGAACAGGUGUGAAGCUAUACUGAGAGACAGAGACAACUGAGCCAAGUCUAGCUGCUCACCGAUGUGACCCGGCUGAUGGAGUAAGAGCUCAUGUGACUGAAUGAAUCCUCUCCCACACACAGAGCAGGUUAAUGCCCUCUCCCCAUGUGAACUGGCUGGUGUAUCUGCAGGUUCAGUGGCCUGGUGAAUCCCUUGCAAAAUGAGAGGAAGUGAAUGUCAGCUCAGCGGUAUCAACUCUGUGGCCAUUUAUCAGGUCAGAUGAAGGACAUGUCCACGUAUUGGGGUUCUCCUUGCUCAGACUGGUGGGCAGUCUUCUCAACCAUCUCCUCCUUCACAUUCAAUGAUUAGUAGUAUUCAAAUGUCAGGGAACUGACAAUCACAUGAGUCCAGACACACUGUUGCGUUUGAGAUUCUCAGACAUAAAUUCUUUGCCUUUUCUGCCCUGUAAAAUGUUUGCAAAGAAGACCAAUAGGUGAAAGACAACAUUUCAGCUGAGAUUAUUUAGUUUUUUUCAUUGAUGUCUGAUGUCACACUGUUAAGGAGAGGCUGAACACAAUUUGCUGGAUCAACAUUUCCAGCUGAGAAUAGUUCAGGCAUAAGGACACAACAUCAGAUUCUCUGUUUUCCUCUCUGCCCUUCAUCAAGCUGUGACUUGGCUCAGUUUGUCUCUCUCCAUUCGUACAACUUCACAUUCUGGGUAUCUCCCACAGACCUACUAUGAACACACAUUUGUUGGCAUUUGGCAGUGGUAAACUCGGAGUCAGCAAUGCCAUUGAACCUGAAGAGAAUGUGAUCAGGCUUUCUCGUUGCAGACUGACACUGUGGUAUUCUUGUAGUGUGAAUGCUACUGGUACCCAGUAUGUUAUUGUGGGUUUUUACAAAUAAAAUGGCAUGAGGCAUUUUAUGUUUAGUGACAACUGUAACAACUCAUUUAUUAUCCUCCAAACACAGAAACAAAGCACAGUUUAAAAUAAAAUGACAUAAUUACAUCAUAACAUCUGUCCAGCCUUUUAAAGAGAAACACAACUCAAUGUUGGUGGUUGUUAAUUCUGCAUGUUUCCACCCAUUACAUUAAUCUACACAGACACCUCUCCCCCCCCCAGUCCUCUCACUGCUCCCCCUCUGUGAUCGUUAUAGCAGUUUAUUUCCUUUCAAUGUCAGUACUGUCCAUUUGACAACCUUCCUCACCACCCACAACUGCACCAACAUUCAUAUCAACAGUGAUCUGAUCAGCCCGUGUGUAUUUUAAUCUGAUCAUACAGAGGCCCCAUCAUUGAUCACUGUGUGGACACACUGGUUACAUAUCUACAGUUAAAAUCAUUCUCAAUUCCAUCACUCCAAAUGUUGCUACAUGAUACUCAAUACAUACCCUGUAACUGGGUGUCUUACCAGCAAAGACAGGUAUCCAUUCGAGUCUGGUGAUACUAUUUUCAACAAUAUUUAUUAGCAAAAAUAUACAAAAUAAUAGCAAUGCAAAUAUACGUUAACAAUACUAAACUUAAAAGUGCGAGUAUAAUAAUAAUCACUAGUGAAACAAGCUCUAUCGUUGUCUAGGGGAUAAUGAAUUGUCAGAUGAAAAUAUAAAGUUCCGUUCAGUUCAUGCAGGUUGCGGUAGUUGUUUGUCACGGUGUUUCAAUUGUUGAGAGAGAGAGAGAGAGAGAGAGAGAGAGAGAGAGAGAGAAAAU